UACAGAGGGUGCAAGCGUUAAUCGGAAUUACUGGGCGUAAAGGGUGCGUAGGUGGUUUAAUAAGUUAGGUGUGAAAGCCCCGGGCUUAACCUGGGAAUUGCGCCUAAUACUGUUUAACUAGAGUACUGUAGAGGAAAGUGGAAUUUCCGGUGUAGCGGUGAAAUGCGUAGAUAUCGGAAGGAACACCAGUGGCGAAGGCGACUUUCUGGACAGAUACUGACACUGAGGCACGAAAGCGUGGGGAGCAAACAGG
rnacentral:rRNA from 1 species